GAGACCGUAGCUCAAUGGUAGAGCGUUUAACUCAAUUACAAAAGGUCUUGGGUUCAAAUCCCAGGUGUCCCA
rnacentral:tRNA from 1 species